rnacentral:misc_RNA from 1 species
GAUGAAGAACGUAGUGAAAUGCGAUAAGUAGUGUGAAUUGCAGAAUUCAGUGAAUCAUCGAAUCUUUGAACGCACAUUGCACUCCUUGGUAUUCCGAGGAGUAUGCCUGUUUCAGUAUCAUGAGCACUCUCACAUCUAACCUUUGGGUUAAAAUGUGGAAUUGGGAUGCGCCGGUUAUUAUAACGGCCCUCCUAAAAUUCAGUUCUUGGCUGCUUCCUACUACAGCAGUUUGGCCUAAUAGUUUUGAGUCUUCGAUUCAAAUCUUUGGCUAACAUUUGCUUCAGGCUGUCAGUCUUGAUAUACAGAAAUCUCAUUCAAACUUUGAUCUGAAAUCAGGUAGGGCUACCCGCUGAACUUAAGCAUAUCAAUAAGCGGAGGA